rnacentral:tRNA from 1 species
ACGUCCGUACUCAAGUGGUUUAAGAGGAUAGUCUCCAAAACUAUUAUUCCUAGGUUCGAAUCCUAGCGGGCGUG